rnacentral:tRNA from 1 species
GCCACGGUGGCCGAGCCUGGUCAGACGCGACGGCCUGCAGAGCCGUUUCACGCCGGUUCAAAUCCGGCCCGUGGCU